GACGAACGCUGGCGGCGUGCUUAACACAUGCAAGUCGAACGGAAAGGCCCUGCUUUUGUGGGGUGCUCGAGUGGCGAACGGGUGAGUAACACGUGAGUAACCUGCCCUUGACUUUGGGAUAACUUCAGGAAACUGGGGCUAAUACCGGAUAGGAGCUCCUGCUGCAUGGUGGGGGUUGGUAAGUUUCGGCGGUUGGGGGUGGACUCGCGGCUUAUCAGCUUGUUGGGGGGGUAGUGGCUUACCAAGGCUUUGACGGGUAGCCGGGCUGGGAGGGUGACCGGCCACAUUGGGACUGAGAUAGGGCCCAGACUACUACGGGAGGCAGCAGUGGGGAAUAUUGCACAAUGGGCGGAAGCCUGAUGCAGCAACGCCGCGUGGGGGAUGACGGCCUUCGGGUUGUAACCCGCUUUAGCCUGUGACGAAGCGUGAGUGACGGUAAUGGGUAAAGAAGCACCGGCUAACUACGUG
rnacentral:rRNA from 1 species